UUUGACCUCAAAUCAGGUAGGACUACCCGCUGAACUUAAGCAUAUCAAUAAGCGGAGGAAAAGAAACUAACAAGGAUUCCCCUAGUAACUGCGAGUGAAGCGGGAAAAGCUCAAAUUUAAAAUCUGGCGGUCUUCUGGCUGUCCGAGUUGUAAUCUAGAGAAGUGUUAUCCGCGCUGGAC
rnacentral:rRNA from 1 species